rnacentral:rRNA from 1 species
UACGGAGGGGGCGAGUGUUGUUCGGAAUUACUGGGCGUAAAGGGCGCGCAGGCGGCCUGGCAAGUCGAGUGUGAAAUCCCUUGGCUUAACUGAGGAAUGGCGCUCGAAACUACCUCGCUGGAGGGCGGGAGAGGGAAGUGGAACUCUCGGUGUAGGGGUGAAAUCUGUAGAUAUCGAGAGGAACACCGGUGGCGAAGGCAGCUCGCUGGGCCAAUACUGACGCUCAGGCACGAAAGCGUGGG